UCCCAAUCCAACAUCAAAAUCUGCAUGCUGUCCCUCCACCAACUCCAAGCCCUCCAUCUUGGAGCUUUCCCCAGCUACAGCAGGAGCACAGCAGUGGACCUCGCUGCCAAUGCUGAGGUGACGGACGAGCACCACUUUGGAUACCGGCCCAACGACUGAAUCUGUACCAUGAACCCAGCAAAGAAAAGAAAAUUCCUGUGGGACGUUGAGCCUCCAGUGAUACACUUCCAGGGUCUGAUGCUGAAGACAACAGUGAUUGGGUCAACACCCCGAACUAGGGAAGCCCGACAUCCAACUUGGGGUCAGAUAAAAAAGCUGUGUCAGGAUGAAGAAAAACAAGUAAAGCAAUCCAUGCUGCCAGUAACAGGUCCUAACCUGACUGCAGCAAUGUUGGCUCUUAUUGCUGUUGCUUCCUCAGAUGCACAAGAAAAACCCUCUCAGACCUAAAGCAAAAAGAAGCUGCUUGGGCCAUCCUGUCUGCAAUGAAGAAACAAAAAGGGGGACAUGUGGGAAACUGAGUCUUCCAAGUUGCCUGAGCCAUAUCCAGGGUGGUGGCUUGGAAUGCUAAGCUGCAGGCCUUCAUGGAACGCUAUGCAGGCACGCCUUGUAAAGAUAUGUGUCUUGUGACUAUGACGACAAUGUUUACCAUUGUCCUAAACCUAGAUUUUUCCUUCUGAUACACAACAGGAUGUAAACAUAGGUAUCUGGGGGGCUCUCCUAUGCCUUAGGACACUUAGCAUAUACUCCCUUAUCUUCUGAAAUAAAUAGCUGGAGCACAGGUGCAUUAUCAUCCACUUAGCACGAGAUGCAGUGGGUCCCCUGCUCCCUUAAUUCUUAA